rnacentral:rRNA from 1 species
UACGGAGGGGGCCAGCGUUGUUCGGAAUUAUUGGGCGUAAAGGGCGCGUAGGCGGCCGGAUAAGUCUGAUGUGAAAUCCCACGGCUCAACCGUGGAACUGCAUCUGAAACUGUUCGGCUUGAGUCCGGGAGAGGGUAGUGGAAUUCCCAGUGUAGCGGUGAAAUGCGUAGAUAUUGGGAGGAACACCGGUGGCGAAGGCGGCUACCUGGACCGGUACUGACGCUGAUGCGCGAAAGCUAGGGUAGCAAACAGG